UGGGGAAUUUUGGACAAUGGGGGCAACCCUGAUCCAGCAAUGCCGCGUGUGUGAAGAAGGCCUUCGGGUUGUAAAGCACUUUUGUCAGGAACGAAACGGUCUGGGCUAAUACCCCGGACUAAUGACGGUACCUGAAGAAUAAGCACCGGCUAACUACGUGCCAGCAGCCGCGGUAAUACGUAGGGUGCAAGCGUUAAUCGGAAUUACUGGGCGUAAAGCGUGCGCAGGCGGUUGUGUAAGACAGGUGUGAAAUCCCCGGGCUUAACCUGGGAAUUGCAUUUGUGACUGCACGGCUAGAGUGUGUCAGAGGGGGGUAGAAUUCCACGUGUAGCAGUGAAAUGCGUAGAUAUGUGGAGGAAUACCGAUGGCGAAGGCAGCCCCCUGGGAUAACACUGACGCUCAUGCACGAAAGCGUGGGGAGCAAACAGGAUUAGAUACCCCCGUAGUCC
rnacentral:rRNA from 1 species